GGAAAGUACAGGUGGCUCAUUUAGAAGCAGCCAUAUGUCGUGUGGGUGGCUGCCUGUGAAUGGGCUGCCCUGUACU
rnacentral:miRNA from 1 species